CAAUUUGACAAUUGACAGAUUAUCUUGUAAAUAAAUAAAUAAAUGUAAAUAGUUAUCCUUAACAAAACAAAGUCGGGAACAAUGAAUUAAUAGAUAUGUAAAAGCCAUAAGGAGAACAGAACUAAAAUUAAAAUAUGAAAGAAUAUGCAAUAAUUGUAUAAGUGGAAAGCAAGCCACUUUAAAAAGAUAUUCCAAACCAAAACAUGGGUUACCAAAGCAGGCAAUAAAAAGAAAAGGUGAUCUAGAAUGCAAGAGAAGAGCUAAUGAAAGAAGUAAAUGUAAAGAAAAUAAUGAAGAUACUUCUCUGGACCAUGAACAAACACCAGAUAUUUUAUAUAUGUAGAAAAAGGAAAAACUGUUGGAACUUUAAUUUGAAGGCUUUUGACUAGUGAAAAUUUGGAUAAACAACAGGAGUUACUUUGGGCUAUAGCUACGUGCAAAUUUAUUUUCUUGUGGCUUCCUAUAUUUAUUCUUGUUAACUAUAUCUACACUUUGAUAUGUUUUUAGUCGCAUGAAGAUUUUAUAGUUUAUUAUUUUAUGUAUAGUGUUAUAUUUGUGUUGAAUAAACAUUAUUAUUAUUAUUACCUUAAUUUCCAUUAAAUAAAUUAACUGUAAUCAAUAAAUCGUUUUUAACGUUGAUAAAUAAAUUAUCAAUAAUGAUUCCCAAAUAUUUUAUUUGUUUGACAACUUCUACGAAAUAAUAUUUCGUAGUAAUAAUCAAUGCUUUGGUUUAAGAAAUAGACAACUUAGAAUAGAAAUAUGCUUUAUUGUCAUGGAAAAUUGUACAGUUUUAUAGACAAUGCUUACAGAGUCAUAAAAAAUACAAAACAAUAACAAACACAAAAAUCAAUAACAAGUUUAACUUGAAUUGGUGCUCUACACAUAUUAUUACACAUACUACAUAUUAUUGAGUGAAAAACACUUUAACCCAUUGAUAACAAAAACUUUCCAUAGAAGGCCACAAUUUUUAAAUCAUUUUUCUUUUAAUUGUAAACGGCGAUCAUAUUCUACUGCUUAUUAUUUUUUUCUGUUAUAACACCCUGUAUAGCAUAUAUUCAAGUAUUGUUAUACUUUGUAUUAGAGGUAUUUUUUUAAACUGUGUAAUUGAUUGCACUUGACCAACUUCAUGUUUGCAAAAUAAAUUCGGUACGACUAUA